rnacentral:rRNA from 1 species
ACGUCGGUAACGGGAACGGAGGGUAAGAGGUAACUACAGGGGUAGGAGUGAAAUCUUGUAAUCCCUGUGGGACCACCUGUGGGCGAAGGCGUCUUACCAGAACGGGUUCGACGGUGAGGGACGAAAGCUGGGGGCACGAACCGGAUUAGAUACCCGGGUAGUCCCAGCCGUAAACGAUGCUCGCUAGGUGUCAGGCAUGGCGCGACCGUGUCUGGUGCCGCAGGGAAGCCGUGAAGCGAGCCACCUGGGAAGUACGGCCGCAAGGCUGAAACUUAAAGGAAUUGGCGGGGGAGCACAACAACGGGUGGAGCCCUGCGGUUUAAUUGGACUCAACGCCGGACAACUCACCGGGGGCGACAGCAAUAUGUAGGCCAAGCUGAAGACUUUGCCUGAAUCGCUGAGGAGAGGUGCAUGG